rnacentral:rRNA from 1 species
AUUGAACGCUGGCGGCAGGCCUAACACAUGCGAGUCGAACGGUAACAGGAAGCAGCUUGCUGCUUCGCUGACGAGUGGCGGACGGGUGAGUAAUGUCUGGGAAGCUGCCUGAUGGAGGGGGAUAACUACUGGAAACGGUAGCUAAUACCGCAUAAUGUCGCAAGACCAAAGAGGGGGACCUUCGGGCCUCUUGCCAUCGGAUGUGCCCAGAUGGGAUUAGCUUGUUGGUGGGGUAACGGCUCACCAAGGCGACGAUCCCUAGCUGGUCUGAGAGGAUGACCAGCCACACUGGAACUGAGACACGGUCCAGACUCCUACGGGAGGCAGCAGUGGGGAAUAUUGCACAAUGGGCGCAAGCCUGAUGUAGCCAUGCCGCGUGUAUGAAGAAGGCCUUCGGGUUGUAAAGUACUUUCAGCGGGGAGGAAGGGAGUAAAGUUAAUACCUUUGCUCAUUGACGUUACCCGCAGAAGAAGCACCGGCUAACUCCGUG